GUUAUCUAAAAUUAGUAAAAUAUUUUUAUUCACGAAACCAGACGAGCUAAAUCUUUUCCUCUUUAGCGGAUAAUUUUAGUGUAGCAGUACUAAUAAAAUAUUAGAAUUUAGGGGUGAUAGGCCUUUCAAGUCUGGUGAUAUCUUGAUUAUAAGGAAAUAUAUUUAGUAUAAGUUCAAUCUAAAAAUGUUAAGGUUUUUAGGGAGCAUAUUUAUAAAUUAGUAAUAUAACUGAGUAUGUAAAAAUUACAGUUUAGUUUAAUUUAACAUAAAAUAUAAUAAAUAUAUGUAAAUUACUUAUAUUUUUUACUUAAUCUUAAUAGAAUUACAAAUGAUUACAUUAGUAUAUUAUUAAUUUAUCUUAAGGAACUCGGCAAACUUUUUUCUCGACUGUUUACCAAAAACAUUGCCUUAAGAAAGAAUUUAAGGUUUUCUCUGCUCAAUGAUAAUAUUAAAUAGCCGCAGUACCCUGACUGUGCAAAGGUAGCAUAAUCAGUUGGCUUAUAAUUGAAGUCUAGUAUGAAAGGGAAUUUGGGGAAAAGCUGUCUUAAGUAAAAUUACUAGAAUUUUCUUACUAAGUGAAAAUUCUUAGAAUUAGAAAAAAGACGAGAAGACCCUAGAAAUUUGUGACAAUAAGUAUUAACUUAAGUAUUUUGUUGGGGCGACAAGGUAGCAUAUAAACCUACCAAAGAGUAUAAGAAACUAAUUAGUUGAGUAAAUAAAUUACUCUAGGGAUAACAGCAUUAUUUAAUAUAAGAUUGUGACCUCGAUGUUGGACUAGGAAGUAUUCUACUUAAAAGGUAGAAUAGAAGGCUCUGUUCGAGCUUAAUUACCUACGUGAUCUGAGUUCAGACCGG
rnacentral:rRNA from 1 species